UACGUAGGGGGCAAGCGUUGUCCGGAAUCAUUGGGCGUAAAGCGCGUGUAGGCGGCUCGGUAAGUCCGCUCUGAAAGUCCAGGGCUCAACCCUGGGAUGCGGGUGGAUACUGCCGGGCUCGAGUCCGGAAGAGGCGAGUGGAAUUCCCGGUGUAGCGGUGAAAUGCGCAGAUAUCGGGAGGAACACCAAUGGCGAAGGCAGCUCGCUGGGACGUGACUGACGCUGAGACGCGAAAGCGUGGGGAGCGAACCGG
rnacentral:rRNA from 1 species